UACGGGGGGGGCAAGCGUUGUUCGGAAUUACAGGGCGUAAAGGGCUCGUAGGUGGCCAACUAAGUCGGACGUGAAAUCCCUCAGCUUAACUGGGGAACUGCGUCCGAUACUGGAUGGCUUGGAUUCGGGAGAGGGAUGCGGAAUUCCAGGUGUAGCGGUGAAAUGCGUAGAUAUCUGGAGGAACACCGGUGGCGAAGGCGGCAUCCUGGACCGGCAUUGACGCUGAGGCGCGAAAGCCAGGGGAGCAAACGGG
rnacentral:rRNA from 1 species